AUACGGAGGGUGCAAGCGUUGUUCGGAAUUACUGGGCGUAAAGAGCGUGUAGGCGGUCUGUUAAGUCGGGUGUGAAAGCCCAGGGCUCAACCCUGGAACUGCAUUCGAAACUGGCAAACUGGAGUGUCGGAGAGGGUGGUGGAAUUCCCAGUGUAGAGGUGAAAUUCGUAGAGAUUGGGAGGAACACCGGUGGCGAAGGCGGCCACCUGGAAGAUAACUGACGCUGAGACGCGAAAGCGUGGGGAGCAAACAGGAUUAGAUACCCGAGUAGUCC
rnacentral:rRNA from 1 species